AGCCCCCCCCCCCCCACACACACACAAACAAAGAGGCGUUAGGCUGAGACGCUGAAAGUCCGGAUUUAAAGUGCAGAAAAUUAAGCCAUUGAAUCUGCCUGUCCAUGACGUACAAAGACACACUAUGAGCCAGUAUGAUCCGACCAGACCUUACAUCAGCAUUGAGGAGUUGUCGGAGAAGAAAGAGGCUGAUUGAAGCGGGACAGAUGACAUGGAUCCAUCCUUCCACAGCCAGGAGUGCACCGACCUGUGUCCCACACUUCAUAUAAGACUGGAAGCUACACUGGAUCUCACAGCUACACACCACAGACGUCUACACACUGGAGAAGAGUCCCACAAAGAAGUCAUGACCCAGAGGCUGCAGAGAAACAUUUCAAGCCUCACCUGAGAUUUUGUACAAUAUUUUUGCUGUAUGUAAAUAAAGCUUUCACUCCACAUA